GAAGGGCUGUAGUUCAGCGGUAGAGCAUCUGCCUUGUGUGAAGAAGGUCCCAACCUCAAUCCCUGGCAUUUUCA